rnacentral:tRNA from 1 species
GCCUGGCUAGUUAGUCGGUAGAGCAUGAGAUUCUUAAUCUCAGGGUCAGGGGUUCGAACCCCCCCCCCCCCG